CAUGAAAGCACGGUUCUCGUCCGAUCACCGAAGUUAAGCUUUUCCGGGGGGCGUACUUGGGAGGGUGACCACCGGGGAACACCACGUGCCGUUG